rnacentral:rRNA from 1 species
UACGUAGGGGGCAAGCGUUGUCCGGAAUUAUUGGGCGUAAAGCGCGCGCAGGCGGUUCCUUAAGUCUGAUGUGAAAGCCCACGGCUCAACCGUGGAGGGUCAUUGGAAACUGGGGAACUUGAGUACAGAAGAGGAGAGUGGAAUUCCACGUGUAGCGGUGAAAUGCGUAGAUAUGUGGAGGAACACCAGUGGCGAAGGCGACUCUCUGGUCUGUAACUGACGCUGAGGCGCGAAAGCGUGGGGAGCGAACAGG